rnacentral:misc_RNA from 1 species
AACCAUAGAAACCUGCGGAGUACCUGCGGAAGGAUCAUUACAGAGUUAUCCAACUCCCAAACCCAUGUGAACUUAUCUCUUUGUUGCCUCGGCGCAAGCUACCCGGGACCUCGCGCCCCGGGCGGCCCGCCGGCGGACACACCAAACUCUGUUAUCUUCGUUGAUUAUCUGAGUGUCUUAUUUAAUAAGUCAAAACUUUCAACAAUGGAUCU